UACGGAGGGUGCGAGCGUUGUCCGGAAUCACUGGGCGUAAAGGGCGCGUAGGCGGCCCGGUAAGUAGGGGGUGAAAUCUUGCGGCUUAACCGCAAGGCUGCCUUCUAAACUGCCAGGCUGGAGCACAGUAGAGGCAGGUGGAAUUCCCGGUGUAGCGGUGGAAUGCGUAGAGAUCGGGAAGAACAUCGGUGGCGAAGGCGGCCUGCUGGGCUGUUGCUGACGCUGAGGCGCGACAGCGUGGGGAGCAAACAGG
rnacentral:rRNA from 1 species